GAGAAGUGCGGGAUGUCACCGCCGAGAGCCGACCCGCAAAGCCAACGUGGUACUGGGCUCGUCAUCUCCAAAAGGUUUAAUGGUCCCAGGGAUCCAGCAGAGGAGAGAAUGUGGCUCAAGCCUGUGCACAACAGCGAGGUGAGGAACCAGUGUCCACGCGAGAAAAGCUCUUAGAGAGGCAGAAACAGCCUUGAAAUGAGCUAAUUUGCCGGGCCCCGAGGCAGCUCACAUUCCUCCAGCAUCUUUAGCAUCGGCACCAUAUUUGGCAGUCGGCAUCCCCGCAAGGCCAAGCUCUUAUCCAGAGGGAUUAGCGGAGCCAAAGAAAAGAAGUUUUUACAUCGAAAAUGAAGACAGGGAAGAAAAACAACCCUAAACCAAAACCCGGGGAGAACUGAUUUUGCCGGGAUUUUUCCUGCUGAACAAACAGGAGAGGCUGGGAACGGUGUCUCUCGCUUGUAUUUGUACCUAAGGCUCGAACCCUGAGAGUUCAAGCCCUUCUGGAUGGCCCUGAGAAAGAGUGCUCUCUGGGCUGAAAAAGCUUCCAGCAUCCCAGCACCUUCCUACCCCGGUCUGGCAAACAGGAUCUCUCCCGGCAUCCCCAGCGGAUCCGGGACUCUGCAGACAAUGCCUAUUGUCUCAGUUUAAUUGCAGCAGCUCAUUAAGG